GGUUGAAAACUGUUGAACACUGUGGAGGAAAAGCGCCAUGCCGCUGGGAAAAACUCGAUACUACCACCGCCAACGAACUUAUUGCUCCCCCAACUGUUGCCUUUUCGGCCCUGGAAGUUGGAAUACAUUCUUCACGCUAUCGAUCAGCAACUGGUUUCGCUCAUGAUCGCCGCUAUCUGGAGACCCACCAACACAGAUCAUGAAUUUGUUCCCUUCCAACUUACAUGUCAAGGGUUGAAGGAAGAGACAAGGUAGGCAUGCAGGUAGGAUCUUCGGAUAUUAUUUAUCCUUAAUUCGGGGCCAUAUUCUGACGAUUUUCGCUACCAAAAGAGCCAACACGCAAACAAACGAAAGGCAAAAAGCAGGGGGGCCCGAUAUAACUCCUGUAUGAGUCUGGAUAGUUAAUUAACUAUCCUAACUCACACUAACUCACAACUCAACAUUUUGUAAUAAAAAGCUUCUAUCCCGGCUAUAUUUCGGUUUCCCCCCCCCCACCUUCCCCUACACGGGUAACAGUGAGUGGUACGAUCUAUCUGUCUCAACUCCAUUGCUAACAGCGAAACGGAAGCCACACCGCGGAGUCACGGACUGAUGAUUCGAACAUCCAUGAACCCGAGUCCCUGAGAGGUCAAGAUGUGGGUCGUCAGGGGCUUGCCGAGGAGAAGGAUCGAAUACUUCGGAGUGAGAGAGCAUUUUGAACAGAAGCCAAGAGGCUCCAGGUCUGGUAACGUCUCCGCUCGGGUUAAGUCAAGGGGCUCGACUCGUAGUUACUUCUAUUUUUGGUGCCCUGUUCCUCGUAAGGAUUGAACUAUUUAUCAUUAUUUAAUGCACCAUGCCCGGCCAAGACUGGCUAGGAGUUUUAGCUACUACCUUUCAAGGAUCUAACGGAGUAAUCAGCCACAAGCUUUCAGCUUUCGGCAUCUGCAGUUCUGAGGCAUUUGCAGACGCCUGAAAUAUAAUAUCAACGCUUGGCCUCGGAUCAUUCCAACCCCGAUGCCGUAUACCUAACUUCACAACCAAGCUUUAGUCUAAUUCCUUGGGACCAGGUUGAGGUGCGCGGGACUGGUGUAUAUAAUAUAUAUUCAUACAAGGCAAAAAGCACUGGGACAUUCUAUUCAUUUCGCUGCAUAAACUGUUAUUGAUGCUAACUGUGGAGCACACUUCGCGGUCUCAUGGGCUGCUAGUGCUCUCUGCAGAGAAGAGAUUUGAUCGAGUUACGCUGCGGAGUGAGGUGAACUGAGGUCAAUGGAAGUGACUAAAAUGUGCCAAUAGUUACUAGUAACCUUUCAAUCAAGGCGG
rnacentral:sRNA from 2 species